UUCUUCAGUACUGAAUAAAAAAAAAGAAAUUAUUAAUAUAGAGAAGGUAUGGCUCCUCCGCAAGGAUAACAUGCAAAUUCAUGAAGCGUUCCAUAAUUUU
rnacentral:snRNA from 1 species